AGAAAUAAAGGACAUGCAUUUCAAGUUUGUAUGCGGGUUACAUUUGAGCCUUGAAGAUGACAGAUCCUAUUCUUACAGGUAAAUGAUUUGAAGUUUUCAUGGAAGAGGGCCAUGUAAAUGUUGGAAAAUGUAAUACAACUAGAUAAGAUGAAAACUGAAGAUAUUAAUGCAACAAUUGAUAGUGAAGAAAACAGUAGGGUUUCAAAUAGGUAUUGAUCAGAUAAAAGAAUUGGCAGUGUGAAUGUAUAUAAUCUAGAAGGGUAUGAUAUAGUGA